rnacentral:lncRNA from 1 species
GCGGUGACGGUGACAACAGCCCCACGAUGACCCCGAGGGACAACACCCGGCGCUUCGCGUCACCCGCGCCGAUGUCACCCUUCGAGCGUCACCCAUUUGUCACCCGUUUCAUUGUCACCAUUUUGUCACCCCUUCAGUGUCACCCUACUACCAUCACCCGCUUGUCACCCUUUCGGUGUCACCAUUUUGUCACCCGUUUCGCGACCACCAUUUUGUCACCCUUUUGGUGUCACCAUUUUACUGUCACCCAUUUGUCACCAUUUUGUCACCCCUUCCAUGUCACCCUCCUACUGUCACCCGCUUGUCACCCCUUCGGUGUCACUGUUUUCCUGUCACCUAUUUCAGUGUCACCCUUUUGUCACC